rnacentral:piRNA from 1 species
UUGAAUAAAUUUUGUAUGGUAAAGG